ensembl:misc_RNA Metazoa_SRP Metazoan signal recognition particle RNA
GCCGGGCAUGGUGGCGGGUGCCUGUAAUCCCAGCUACUUGGGAGACUGAGGCAGAAGAAUUGCUUGAACCUGGGAGGUGGAGGUUGCAGUGAGCCGAUAUCACGCCACUGCACUCCAGCCUGGGUGACAGAGCAAGACUCUGUCUCAA